rnacentral:misc_RNA from 1 species
GCAAAUUCCACCAAUCCUUUCCUUGAGUGACUUAGGAGAGAACUUCACCCCAUCAGAGCUGCCAUCCUCGAGGCAAGUAAUGUUGCUUAUAUUGAUAUCCGGAACCAAAGGAGGAUCUUCUUCAAGUGGUAAAGGUUUAUUCAAGUCAGCCAAUUCAUCAGUCCUUUUUGAGGAAUUGGUUCUGUCGAGAUCAGCAUCAGAAUGAAAUUCUAAAGCUCUAGGUGUCUUCACGUCUCUUCUUCGGGGGAUCGGAUAAAUUCCCUCAACAGGGUUCCCUUGAAUGCCGGCUAAUCCCAAUUGUUUCAUAGUAGUUUGUUCUUCUUCGUUAU